UUCUGUCGGUUGGUCCUGGAGCGGCGCAGCCGGAGUGGGGCCGUGAGCACGAGUACACGAGACAGGAUUGAGAAAGGAGAGAUUCAAAUUGUGACUUCAGAUUCAAAGGCAAUUAAAGGAAUUAAACGAGAAUAAAGGCAGCCCCGUUGAUGACUGAAAAUGACAAAGCAUCCACCUAACAGACGAGGAAUCAGCUUUGAAGUGGGAGCCCAGUUGGAAGCCCGGGACCGUUUAAAAAACUGAAUACAGUUGAGUUUUGCCAAAUUUGACAGUUCACGCAAGCCCCACCACAAUCAAGAUAUGGGCCGGGAAUGGUGACUCAUGCCUAUAAUCCCAGCACCUUGGGAGGACAACGUGGGAGGAUUGCUUGAGCCCAGGAGUUCAAGACAAGCCUAAGCAACAUAAUGGGACUUCGUCUCUCAAAA
rnacentral:lncRNA from 10 species